GUGUCAGCAGCCGCGGUAAUACGGAGGGUGCAAGCGUUAUCCGGAUUCACUGGGUUUAAAGGGUGCGUAGGCGGGCAGGUAAGUCAGUGGUGAAAUCUCCGGGCUUAACCCGGAAACUGCCGUUGAUACUAUCUGUCUUGAAUAUCGUGGAGGUGAGCGGAAUAUGUCAUGUAGCGGUGAAAUGCUUAGAUAUGACAUAGAACACCAAUUGCGAAGGCAGCUCGCUACACGGUUAUUGACGCUGAGGCACGAAAGCGUGGGGAUCAAACAGGAUUAGAUACCCUGGUAGUCC
rnacentral:rRNA from 1 species